GGAUGCGAUCAAACCAGCACUAAUGCACGGAUCCCAUUAGAACUCCGCAGUCAAGCGUGCUUGGGCGAGAGUACUACUAGGAUGAAUGACCUCUCGGGAAAUCCUCUUGUUGCAUCCC
rfam:Capsella rubella cultivar Monte Gargano unplaced genomic scaffold scaffold_5, whole genome shotgun sequence.